GCCUCAGCCUUCCGAGUAGCUGGGACUACAGUGCACCUUCCAGUGUGGCAGAAAUUGGAAAGCUUUACAACAAAUAAACUAUAUUUUGACACUUUCCUGCAGCUAAGGUUCUGGAUGCAAGUUAGGCCCUGCCAUGAGAUGCUUCAUUGGAAAGUGGAAGGUAGAAAUGAGGUGGAAGCAUUUUUCUCUUGCUCUUUUGACUGUUUUCUGAUGUCACAUAUGGCCAUAGGAUGGAGCUCCUCACACCCCCCAGAAGUGGUCCAGUGUGCAGUCUCUCCAGAUUUGUGGGUGGUAAGGGGCAUUUGCUGUGGUGCCAGUGAAGCCCAGAUACCAGCUCCUUGAUCUUGGAUCUUAUCUGCACUAGCAUUAUCUUGGACUGUGAUCUCUGGACUCAGUAAUUCCAGUGGCAAUCUCUUGGUAUUCCAGCUCCCUGGCUGGGACAGUUGUAAUAGCUUCUCUGGUGAGUCAGUUCUGCAGUGUUCUGGGGAUAACUCCUGGAAACCUAGCAUAUAGCCUAGUUCUGCCAAAUUUAUAAACAUCCAAUUCCUGUAUUAAAUCCCAUUCUGCAUAAAAUCCCUAGGGCGGUAUCUGCUUCCUGCAAUUGAACCCUACCUGAUACAGGCUUGUAUCCGUGAUUAUGAGUCUUCUAAUUUUACCUCUCAAUUAGAGGCAAUGGCCCUGCUUAGCCAUAGUAGAUGUCCUCAGCUCCCUUGUUGGUAGACCAGGAGGAGAAAUUCUUGGUAUUCAGCAUAAUGGAUUUCCACAAAAAAAGUGCUUACUGAGCCUCAGGUACUGGAACUAACAGAUGAAAGAGACAAUAUCAUGGCGCAGCGUGGGAAGAAAGAAGAGAAAAGUUCUUGUUUCCACAUGAAUCACCACGGAGCAGCAUCUGUCCUCAAUUUUGACAAAGCAAAUGAAAGGGGAAAAGCGUUCUUAUUGACUGGAAGAAAACAGAGACAGCAAAGCCCAGAAGCUUCUCUUUGGUCAGCCUCGCAAUUGUAUUUCCCCCACUUUGCUGUCCUCCCAAGGGCUAGACAUCCAACACUCCUACCGAGGUUCUCACGACAUUGACAGUUUAGCUGGAAACCCAAGACCCACUCCUGCUUUCCCAUGGGAUUUCUCACUGCCUUACCAUGAACUGUCCAUCCUGCAGCCCAUGAGGGCAUGUCAGACCCAGAGAGAAUAAGAGAAGGCCAUGCAGCUGGUGCCAGGCAACAUGUCUGCUCCCAGUGGACCCCAGUGGCCAGGCUUGGCCAGCCAGGCUGUGAAAUCAGAGACAGCCAGCCCUCCAGAGCACAGAGACUCUCGGCCACUCUGACUUCAUUAGCAUGCAACUAGGGCACGGAGGCCUUGCCAGGGACUGUUGCAAGCAAGUUUGCUCAGGGAGACAGCUGGAAAGAUGGACUGAUGCCUUGAGUUUCUUGGUUCUU